CCUACGGGAGGCAGCAGUGGGGAAUAUUGGACAAUGGGCGCAAGCCUGAUCCAGCAAUGCCGCGUGUGUGAAGAAGGCCUGCGGGUUGUAAAGCACUUUUGUUCGGGAAGAAAACAGAUCGGUUAAUACCCGGUUCGGAUGACGGUACCGAAAGAAUAAGCACCGGCUAACUUCGUGCCAGCAGCCGCGGUAAUACGAAGGGUGCAAGCGUUAAUCGGAAUUACUGGGCGUAAAGCGUGCGUAGGCGGCUUUUUAAGUCGGAUGUGAAAUCCCCGGGCUCAACCUGGGAAUGGCAUCCGAUACUGGGGAGCUAGAGUUUGGGAGAGGGUGGUGGAAUUCCCGGUGUAGCGGUGAAAUGCGUAGAGAUCGGGAGGAACAUCAGUGGCGAAGGCGGCCACCUGGCCUAAAACUGACGCUGAGGCACGAAAGCGUGGGGAGCAAACAGGAUUAGAUACCCUGGUAGUCCACGCCCUAAACGAUGAGAACUGGACGUUGGGAGGAAUUCGCCUCUUAGUGUCGAAGCUAACGCGUGAAGUUCUCCGCCUGGGGAGUACGCUCCCAAGAGUGAAACUCAAAGGAAUUGACGG
rnacentral:rRNA from 1 species